AUCCUCCCUGUAACUCAGUCAUUUCUAAUUAUGUAGUUCUUUGUCAGGGAGUGUUCCUAUCCAAUCAAUCUUGCAUGAAACGAAAAGUUUCAGUUGGAGCUCUAGCCUGACUUAAAGAAAAAGGCAGUUACAAUUAAACCAUCUCCCUGGUGCUUAUGCUAUAAAUUGCCACCUCAAACAGCACCAAAUCAAAAUCUCUCCACUUUUCAGCUGUCUUUGGAGGACGUACGUAAUAAGGUUUUAUUUAGUAAACCAAUCCUAUGCAUGAUUUCAGCACUAGCCAAACCUCACCAACUUUUAGUCUAGAAAAACAGGCACUUGGCACACUUAUGAUGUCAUACAGAGAAGUCACAGGGCAGUACCCGAGGGUCUGUAGGUUGCACACUUUGGUACCAGGUAACUUUUUUUUUCUUUAUAAGAAAGAGUACUCCACACUGCACAAUAGCUCCUUCCAGGGUUUUAACUUUGUUUUAUUUUCAAAACCAGGUCCAAUGAGCUUUCUGAACAGCUGGUGUAGCUACAGAGAAACCAGCUUCCUUCAGAGAGCAGUGCUUUUGGCAGGGAGGAGGAAAUCCCUUCAUAUUUGAACAUUUUCUAAUUGCUUAUUUAUUGUAUUCUGGGGUAUGGCGUAAGUACAGAGAAGCCAUCACCUCAGUAUGGCAGCUUUUAAAAGAUUUUUUUUUCUUUGACACCAUGAUUCCUUUAACAUGUUUCCAGCAUUCCCAGGUAGGCCAAGGUGUCCUACAGAAAAACCUUGGAUACCUACAGGGGGUCUGGCUGGUGUUAACAGAAGGGAGGGCAGAGCUGGUGCAGCUGGCCAUGGAGAAAGCUGACUUGGCUGCUGUGGUACAGAGAAGCCAGCUUGUUUACAUGCUUAUUCCGUGACUGCUUGCCCUAAGCAAGAAAGUGCCUUUCAGGAUCUAUUUUUGGAGGUUUAUUACGUAUGUCUGGUUCUCAAUUCCAACAGUUUAAUGAAGAUCUAAAUAAAAUGCUAGGUUCUACCCAAAAAAAA
rnacentral:lncRNA from 1 species